rnacentral:rRNA from 1 species
AUGCUCACGGCGGUCGCGCCGUCUUCGGCGGCCCCUCCGACUACGGCCAUCACGCUCGAUGCGGCCUCGCUCGCCGCCCGCAAGGCCGAUCCGGCCAUUCAGGGAUGCUUCGCCGCCUCGCGCAAGCUCCCGUGCAUGCCAUCGGUGUCGGCCAGUCUGCCUCCUCUGCCAACCGUCCCCAUCCUCCUUGUCGGCGCCUCUUCCGGCCGGCCGACGGCGCCCUCCGGCCUCCUCUGCUCGUCGCCAAGCUCCCAACCGCCCCGGCCUGAUAUGGAUCGGGGGCCUGUGUCUCGCCGCCGGAGCUACGUUUGUGUUCUGAGGACGUCGUCGUGGAGGUGCCGGAGACCAUUGACGGGUCGCCGGCACAGCUGCCCUGCCUGGGCGGCGGCCGGCCACCUGCUGCCUUGUUGA